rnacentral:rRNA from 1 species
AUUGAACGCUGGCGGCAUGCCUUACACAUGCAAGUCGAACGGCAGCACGGGGGCAACCCUGGUGGCGAGUGGCGAACGGGUGAGUAAUACAUCGGAACGUGUCCUCUUGUGGGAGAUAACCAGUCGAAAGAUUGGCUAAUACCGCAUGAGAUCGCAAGAUGAAAGCGGGGGACCGCAAGGCCUCGCGCGAGAGGAGCGGCCGAUGUCGGAUUAGCAGUUGGUGGGGUAAAAGCCUACCAAGGCGACGAUCCGUAGCUGGUCUGAGAGGACGACCAGCCACACUGGGACUGAGACACGGCCCAGACUCCUACGGGAGGCAGCAGUGGGGAAUUUUGGACAAUGGGCGCAAGCCUGAUCCAGCCAUGCCGCGUGUGUGAAGAAGGCCUGGUUGUAAG